rnacentral:pre_miRNA from 1 species
UGGUGAAUUACUGGGCAUUUCCUCCUUUGGCAGGUGGCUUGUGACCACAAUUCGCUGGGAGUGAAUGUUAUAUAAGCUCACUGCCAAAGGAGAUUUGCCCGGCAAUUCACCG